rnacentral:pre_miRNA from 1 species
AUUUUAGUAUUCACCCUAAUACCCAUGAGUUGAGGGGGGUUAGGGUGUAAACUAAACUAAUUUACAUCUCAAUCCUCCUCAACUCAUGUGUAUUGGGGUGAAUACUAGA